rnacentral:rRNA from 1 species
UACAGAGGUCCCAAGCGUUGUUCGGAUUCACUGGGCGUAAAGGGUGUGUAGGUGGCGCGCUAAGUCGGGUGUGAAAUUUCGGAGCUUAACUGCGAAACUGCAUUCGAUACUGGCGUGCUUGAGGACUGGAGAGGAGACUGGAAUUCAUGGUGUAGCAGUGAAAUGCGUAGAGAUCAUGAGGAAGACCAGUGGCGAAGGCGGGUCUCUGGACAGUUCCUGACACUGAGACACGAAGGCCAGGGGAGCAAACGGG